rnacentral:misc_RNA from 1 species
GAAAUGCGAUAAGUAGUGUGAAUUGCAGAAUUCCGUGAAUCAUCGAAUCUUUGAACGCAUCUUGCGCUCUCUGGUAUUCCGGAGAGCAUGCCUGUUUCAGCCUCAGCAACAUCGAUCAAACUCCGCGUCGCAUGCGUGGGUUUGGAGCUGAGUCGUCUCGGUCGACGUCUCGGCCCGAGUGACUCGAAAUGCUUGUCUCUCGGCUAGGCCAGCUCGGCUUGCUUACGGAGUCCUUUGAAAAAAACUUUGCUUUUCGGCAAUCUUUUCGGGGUCUUCGCGUCGCAGUCGCCGGUCUAUUUUUGGCAAAGAGAUCAUUCGCAGGAAGAAAAAAAAAGGAACUUGUUUCCCCCUUUUUUCCGUCUUGAGCUGAAAUCAGGCAGGACUACCCGCUGAACUUAAGC